rfam:TPA: Bos taurus chromosome 2, whole genome shotgun sequence.
UCCCUGGUGGCUCAGAUGGUAAAGCGUCUGCCUGCAAUGCGGGAGACCCGGGUUCAAUUCCUGGGUCGGGAA